GCGGACGUAAUUCAGCGGUAGAAUGCCAGCUUCCCAUGCUGGACGUCGUGGGUUCGAGCCCCACCGUCCGCU
rnacentral:tRNA from 2 species